GAUGAAGAACGUAGCGAAAUGCGAUACUUCGUGUGAAUUGCAGAAUCCCGUGAACCAUCGAGUCUUUGAACGCAAGUUGCGCCCGAAGCCAUCAGGUUGAGGGCACGUCUGCCUAGGCGUCACAUAUCGUUGCCCAAUGCCUAUUGCAGUGCAAUAGGAAUUUCUAGGGCGAAUGAUGGCUUCCCGUGAGCGUUGUUGCCUCGCGGUUGGUUGAAAAUCGAGUCCUUGGUAGGGUGUGCCAUGGUAGAUGGUGGUCGAGUUAGAACGAUACCGAUCAUGUGCAUGCUCCCCAAAAUAUGGCCUCUAUGACCCACACGCGUCUUUUGACGCUCAUGACGAGACCUCAGGUCAGGCGGGGCUACCCGCUGAAUUUAAGCAUAUCAAUAAGCGGAGGA
rnacentral:misc_RNA from 1 species